GACGAACGCUGGCGGCGUGCUUAACACGUGCAAGUCGAACGGAAAGGCCUGCUUUCCCUUGUGGAUUGCGGGUACUCGAGUGGCGAACGGGUGAGUAACGCGUGAGUGAUCUGCCCCCAACUUGGGUAUAAGCCUGGGAAACUGGGUCUAAUUCCCGAUAGGACUGCAGGGUGGUGCCUGUGGUGGAAAACGAUUUUCUAGUGGUUGGGGAUGAGCGCGCGGCCUAUCAGCUUGUUGGUGGGGUAAUGGCCUACAAAGGCGGCGACGGGUAGCCGGCCUGAGAGGGUGGACGGCCACAUUGGGACUGGGAUACGGCCCAGACGCCUAGGAGAGGCAGCAGUGGGGAAUCUUGCGCCGUGAGCGGAAGCCUGAAGCAGCGACGCCGCGUGGGGGAUGACGGGCUUCGGGUUGUAAACUCCUUGCGACCGCGAGGAAGCCACCUGGUUGGAAGGGUGGUGACGGUAGUGGUAGAAGAAGCACCGGCUAACUACGUG
rnacentral:rRNA from 1 species